CCCUUAGAUGUUCUGGGCCGCACGCGCGCUACACUGGCGAAUGCAACGAGCUUAUAACCUUGGCCGAAAGGUCUGGGUAAUCUCCAAAUUUCGUCGUGAUGGGGAUAGAUUAUUGCAAUUAUUAAUCUUCAACGAGGAAUGCCUAGUAAGCGCAAGUCAUCAGCUUGCGUUGAUUACGUCCCUGCCCUUUGUACACACCGCCCGUCGCUCCUACCGAUUGAAUGGUCCGGUGAAGCGUUCGGACCGUGGCCUUUGGACGGUUCGCCGUCUGUUGGCUGCGGGAAGUUCGUUAAACCUUAUCAUUUAGAGGAAGGAGAANUCGUAACA
rnacentral:rRNA from 1 species